UGAAUAGCAGAAUACAGUGAAUCAUCGAAUCUUUGAACGCAUCUUGCGCUCCUUGGUAUUCCGAGGAGCAUGCCUGUUUGAGUGUCAUUUAACUUCUCAACCACAUCAGAUAUGAAUGUGGCUUGGAAUUGGGGGUCAUUUGCAGGCUUUUUCUGUGAAAAGAAAGAAAGGUCGGCUCCCCUGAAAUGUAUUAGUGGUAUCUGAGCUACUGCUAUAGGUGUGAUAAUUAUCUAUGCCUUUGGUAUGCUGCAUGAAACAGAUUGCACCGCUUAUUAACAAAAGACGAACUUGAUAAAUAUGACCUCAAAUCAGGUAGGACUACCCGCUGAACUUAAGCAUAUCAAUAAGCGGAGGAA
rnacentral:sRNA from 1 species